AUGUAAUCCCUCCGUUGAGAUGCUUGACGAGGUCCCCAGUCUUAUGUAAUCCCUCCUUUGAGAUGCUUGACGAGGUCCCCAGUCUUAUGUAAUCCCUCCGUUGAGAUGCUUGACGAGGUCCCCAGUUUUAUGUAAUCCCUCCUUUGAGAUGCUUGACGAGGUCCCCAGUUUUAUGUAAUCCCUCCUUUGAGAUGCUUGACGAGGUCCCCAGUCUUAUGUAAUCCCUCCUUUGAGAUGCUUGACGAGGUCCCCAGUUUUAUGUAAUCCCUCCUUUGAGAUGCUUGACGAGGUCCCCAGUCUUAUGUAAUCCCUCCUUUGAGAUGCUUGACGAGGUCCCCAGUUUUAUGUAAUCCCUCCUUUG
ensembl:lncRNA